rnacentral:tRNA from 1 species
GGACAGAUGGCCGAGCUGGUUAUGGCGCCAGGUUAAGGUCCUGGUCACGAAAGUGGCGUGGAUUCAAGUCCCACUCUGUUCA